UACGUAGGUGGCGAGCGUUGUCCGGAUUUACUGGGCGUAAAGGGCGUGCAGGCGGUUUGUUAAGUGCAGAGUGAAAGCUCCCGGCUCAACUGGGAGAGGUCUUUGCAUACUGGCAAACUCGAGGGAGGCAGAGGAAAGUGGAAUUCCCGGUGUAGUGGUGAUAUGCGUAGAUAGUCGGGAGGAACACCUGUGGCGAAGGCGGGCUUUCUGGGCCUUACCU
rnacentral:rRNA from 1 species